rnacentral:lncRNA from 1 species
GGCCAUGACUUGCUUGGCAGCAGCAGCCCCAUCCAUUUCAGCCUCUACCAACUUGGACAUGAGGCACUCCUUCUCCUGCUGGAGGUGUUUCUUCUGAAGCCUGGGGCCAGAGAGAAUAGGGCUCUGUGAGCCCUCCCAGGCCGCGGCCCACCCGGAGCUCUGGGCUCGCCUCACAAUGCCCUGCGAGGCUCAUCUCCUGGCCAGGGGACAGUGGGGGAGGGGGAGGGAUGGCCCCUGGGAGGCCACCUGGGGCCCACAGCAGCGCCUUCACAUCAGGUGACGUUAUGGCAUCUGUGGCCCUGCUUGCCUCUUCGUCAUUAGCAUCAUCUCUGUCCCUGGCCAUUGCCACAGCCUCGAAACCACCACCAUCAGAUCCGCUUCUGAGCCUCCCAUCCACUCUUCACACCGGAGCCAAGCCUGGCCGCACCGCGCCCUGCUUUGAACACCCCUCCACGGCCGCUCAAUGGAAACCCCUUCAAGCGACCGCUAAGAGCGGCCCCUGCCAACCUCCACGGUGCCCCUUGCCCUCUGCCCGCCCCCUCUCCUCCUUCCUGCCUGCCUUCCAUUUCUCAGUUGCAAACUCCUCCCUGGGGGCUUUCACUCGAGACCCAGCAUCCUUUCUUCCCCAGCACCUACUGCCCACCUCCCCUAACUACUCUGCAGGACUCUCCCUAAAUGUUGCUUUUUCCGGAAAGGCUUCCGCUGCACUCUAUGGGGGUCCUCCUCUCCCCUCACAGCGUGAACCACGGGCGCCAUAGGGUAGCUAGCCGUGUGACUGCCGGACAGCCGUAAGCCUGGGUAUGCUGUGACCCGGGGGCAGUGCCCGGGCCCGCCUGGCGGGAGGAGCACACUUUGGGGCAGGGCCGCCUUACAUGGUGAAGUCCUUCUCCUCCUUGAUGCGCUCAAUGUUGUGCCUCAGCACCGUGUUCUCGUGCUCCGUCUCGGCCAGCUCAUGGGCCACCUCCUCCAGCUCCUCCUUCCGCUCCUCCAGGAACCUUUUGGCCAUCUGGCGCUCACCUUUCUGCAUCUUGACCUGUGCAGGGGCACGCAGGCAGGGGCCACUGAGGGGAGGUUCCUCCUCCGCACAUCGCCAGGCCCAUCACUUUGGACCAGAGAAGGGCGCCUCCGAUUGACAGACACAUAGGUCACUUAGGUCCACUUGGCUGCAACCUCAGUUAAUCAUCACACAGACUCUCUGGGCGGACGCUACUCAUCUCGUUUCCUCAUGACAGAGAAAACCGAGUACACAGAGCCUAAGUGACUUGCUGGUUGGGGACAGGGCCAGGAUACAGACCGUGGUUCGGCUGGCACACCGCAGGAGAGAUGUCACAAAAAGGCCCACGCGCUGCGGGCUGUGGAGGAAGGGCUUGCCAGGAGGCCAGCCCCAGGUUCCCCAGGAGGGCCCAUGGGCCCCAAGUGAAGGGUGGGGGAUUAAAGACACAGGCCACUUUAGCACUCAAGACCCGAACUUCAGGCCAGCUCUGCCACCCUCCCGGUUGGGGGCCAGGGACUCCCAGGUCGUUUCCAAUUAAGGGCAUGGCCCACCAACUGAGGACAAACUUCCUUCACCUCUUUGGGGCUUUGUUCUUUUUUAAAACUUUUGUGUCAACUGGGAAACAGAGGUCUCAGCGUCCCAGUCACUUCGUCUCCAAAACGGGGACAAUAACACCACCGGCUUCAUUUACUGUUGGGCCAGAUCAAACCAGGGCUUCCGUACAGAGCACCAGGAGGGUCAGGGCCAGGCCUGGGCUAAGCGCUUGAUGGAGAGGGGUCCCAGGUUGCCCCGGCUACCUCCCCAGAGGCAUCUAAUGCCCUGGGGCAGCCUGCUGGGAAGGGCAGGAGGCCUGCGGGCAGGCAGCCUGAAGGAAGCGGUCAUCAGGACCCGCUGUCCUUCACACCCUCAGGCCAACAGCUAUUUUACCCCCUACCUCCCUCACCUCAGACUUGAGACAACCGACCGCGUUCAUUAGACUGUCAAUCUUCUUAUCAUAACGGUUCAUUUUACAGUGACCCGAGUCGUCAUCUUCUGUAGAGAGGUCACUUAACCGCAUCACCGAGACCAGCUUUUCUGAAGAUGGUGGCGUGAUCUCCAGGCAAUGAGGCGGAUUCUGAUGCAGAGGAGGGAGAGACACGUGAACUCAUAAGGCAAAGCCACAGCCAUCAGCUCCAGAGCCACCUGUUUGUCCAGGGGAGGCAGGAAGGGCUAAAAUGCCGAGGGCCGACCACAGGGACCUCAGGACGGAGAGCACACCGCGCCUUCUCGAUGGAACAUUACCUACCCCUGUUUACGUGAUGUUUCUGAAGAUUUUCUACCAAGAAAUAAGCCUGUGUUACAA